GGUGGCUUGGAGACAUUGAAUGAACAACUGCUCACACUGACAGCCAAACUGUAUAUUAUGAACCCACAGAACAAGGUAGUAACUGGCACGAAUCUCCGGUUUAAUGCACACUGUCAGUUGUACAGUAUAGCACUCUAGCUCCAGAACAGCCGGACAUUAUAGACCACUAUGCAGAGCCAUACAACCGGAUAUCAACUGACCAACAGGACCAGAUACAGACAAUGACACAACACACCUCCAGGCUGUGUAAGGACUAUUUUACCAAGAAGGAGAGUGAUGGAGUGCUGCAUCAGAUGACCUGGUCUCCACAAUCACCCGACCUCAACCAAAUUGAGAUGGCUUGGGAUGAGUUGGACCGCAGAGUGAAUGAAAAGCAGCCAACAAGUGCUCAGCAUACGUGGGAACUCCUUCGAGACUAUUGGAAAAGCAUUCCAGGUGAAGCUGGUUGAGAGAACGCCAAGAGUGUGCAAACCUGUAAUCAAGGCAAAGGGAGGCUACUUUGAAGAAUCUCAAAUAUAAAAUAUAUUUUGAUUUGUUUAACCAUUUUUAUGUUUGUUACUACAUGUGUUAUUUCAUAGUUUUGAUGUCUUCCUUACUAUUCUACAAUGUAGAAAAUAGUAACAAUAAAGAAAAACCCUUGACUGAG